AUUGAACGCUGGCGGCAUGCCUAAUACAUGCAAGUCGAACGAAGGCUUCGGCCUUAGUGGCGCACGGGUGCGUAACGCGUGGGAAUCUGCCCUCAGGUUCGGAAUAACAGCGAGAAAUUGCUGCUAAUACCGGAUGAUAUCGCGAGAUCAAAGAUUUAUCGCCUGAGGAUGAGCCCGCGUAGGAUUAGCUAGUUGGUGUGGUAAAGGCGCACCAAGGCGACGAUCCUUAGCUGGUCCGAGAGGAUGAUCAGCCACACCGGGACUGAGACACGGCCCAGACUCCUACGGGAGGCAGCAGUGGGGAAUAUUGGACAAUGGGCGAAAGCUUGAUCCAGCAAUGCCGCGUGAGUGAUGAAGGCCUUAGGGUUGUAAAGCUCUUUUACCCGGGAUGAUAAUGACAGUACCGGGAGAAUAAGCUCCGGCUAACUCCGUGCCAGCCGCCGCCGUAA
rnacentral:rRNA from 1 species